CUAACGAAUGAAGCGAAUGAAGCGAAGCGAGCAGGGAACGUUCUCCUGGGAUUCUAACGGGGGCACACUAGCGAUCGGACAUGAAAGGCAGUUUGGAAAAGCAGUCUGAGUCUCCCCACCACCUCCUUCCUCUGUUCAGGGAGAAGGCGGCGGGAAAGCCCAGGGCAGGCGCUCCAGGAGGGAAAGCCAACGUCCUGGUCCUGGUCAUUAGAAGCCAACUGACGACAGGAAGGAAGCGUGUUAACCCCUCGGCCCCCCUUCUCCCCGGGGGAGAAGCGGCUCCUCCUCCUCUUGGUCGGGCUACCCUGGUGUAAGAUGCGAGCGGCCGCCCGCUUUCCGCACCCUGCCCUCGGCUCAGCCCAGGACGGAGGCAGGAGGGAGCGCGCGGCGCAAGGCUGAGUCCAGCGAGUCUGGUGACAGCGUGACCAUCCCGGCCGAGACGACGUGGACCGCUCCACCCUCCAGGUCGUUCACCAGCCGGUCUACGGAAUUUGCACUCUGCACCCCAACUCCUAGCCUGGUCCCCCAGCGCCACAGCAGCCCAGCCCCUGUGCCUUCGCAGGUGGCGCAAACGCCCCUGCCCUCCGGCGCCCCCUGCCGGGGAGAGAGACGGCGGCGGCGGCGGCGGGCGCGGAGGAGCCGGGCGCAGGGCGAGCGGAGGGCUCGGGCGCCUGGAAGAACCGGGAGCGUCCCCGAUGGUGCCGCCGCCUCCGAGCCGGGGAGGAGCGGCGACGGGGCAGCUGGGCAAGAGCCUGGGUCCGCUGCUGCUGCUCCUGGCGCUGGGACACACGUGGAGCUACCGCGAGGAGCCUGAGAACAGCGACAGAGAAGUCUGCUCAGAAAACAAAAUCGCCACGACCAAAUACCCGUGUCUGAAGGCCUCGGGCGAGCUCACCACGUGUUUCAGGAAAAAGUGCUGCAAAGGGUAUAAAUUUGUUCUCGGACAAUGCAUCCCAGAAGAUUAUGAUGUGUGUGCCGAGGCCCCCUGUGAGCAGCAGUGCACAGAUAACUUCGGCCGCGUGCUGUGUACUUGUUACCCGGGAUACCGCUAUGACCGUGACAGACACCGGAAACGGGAGAAGCCCUACUGCCUGGAUAUCGACGAGUGUGCCACCAGCAAUGAGACUCUGUGUGCACACAUCUGUGUCAACACCUUGGGCAGCUACCGCUGUGAAUGCCGGGAGGGCUACAUCCAGGAGGACGAUGGGAGGACAUGCAUCAAGGGAGACAAAUACCCCAAUGACACUGGGCACGAUGAGAAGGCUGAGAACGCGGUGAGAGCCGGAACCUGCUGUGCUUCAUGCAAGGAGUUUCACCAGAUGAAGCAGACGGUGCUGCAGCUGAAGCAAAAGAUCGCCCUGCUCCCCAACAGUGCCGCUGACCUGGGCAAGUACAACACUGGUGACAAGGUGCUGGCCUCGAACGCCUACCUUCCAGGGCCUCCUGGCCUGCCUGGGGGUCAGGGCCCUCCUGGCUCACCAGGACCAAAGGGCAGCCCAGGCUUCCCGGGUAUGCCGGGCCCUCCUGGACAGCCGGGCCCACGGGGCUCAAUGGGACCCAUGGGACCAUCUCCUGAUCUGUCCCACAUUAAGCAAGGCCGCAGGGGCCCUGUGGGCCCACCAGGUGCACCAGGAAGAGAUGGCUCUAAGGGGGAGAGAGGAGCUCCUGGACCCAGAGGGUCUCCGGGGCCGCCUGGUUCUUUCGACUUCCUGCUGCUGAUCCUGGCUGACAUCCGCAACGACAUCGCCGAACUGCAGGAGAAGGUAUUCCGGCACCAGAUUCACUCUUCCCACUCUUCGGCAGAGGAGUUUUUACCUCAGGAAUUUGCCAGCCAUCCGGAGACCAUGGACUUGGGCUCUGGAGACGACUACUCAAAGGGGACUGAGACAAGAGAUGUGGGGACCCCCAGGGACUUUUAUCCUUAGCACAUGCCAGCAUCUUCAUGCCAGAGGAAGAGAAGUUUUCACACCUGCAGUUAAAGCAUCUGAAGAGAAGACAAGAAAAUAAAACCCACCACUGGAGACCUAGACAGGAUACAUUUUAAUGAUCUUUGCUCUUUUCCUGCCUUCUCCCUACUUUUUUCCUCCCAAAUACUAUUUUCAUAGGCCCCUCCUAGAGGUACUGGUUAUAUGAGGGAGUAAAUGAUUGGUUUAUAUACCUCCCUCUGAGAGCAGUUGACAUUGGAACUGCUCUUUUAUUUAUUUAUAUUUUUUGGAACUUCUGGGUUUCUAAGUUAAAUAUUCUCACAGUAUCUUAAAUUUGACAGAAUAAAAGGGAAAAGUGGCAAGGUGAGCUCCAAGAAAUGUUAGGUUCCUUAUUUAAAAAAUUGGACAUGUGUCCAAAGGAGACUAUUACUCCUCAGUUUCAAAUAAGGCUCUUCAAUGAAAAGGGCAAGACAACAGUGUAUAUUUACUUUGGUAGAUAAUUCUUUGUCCUUGUUGAUCUAAUAGAUAUUCAAUAUUCUAGCCUCUUGUCCAACCUCACUUCCCAAAUUCAAUUAAAGAUAGGAGAGAGUGAAGAAAGAACAGUUAGGGAAGAUGGAGAAAAUGAAUCAUAAUAUUUACUGCUAUAUAGGUUGCUACAUUCUAAAUUCAAAUACAACUAUUAAAUGUUCAUGCCAUGCUUAUCUAUAAGUAUCCUCCUCAGAAAAGGAAGUUACCUAGAUGUAGGACUAAGUCCUCUUUUCAAAAAAGAGAAGUAAAUAAAGCGCCCUGAUUCACAUUAGGAUAAUGGGUCCCUGUUUGGCCAGGACAUUUUAGGGCUGUUUGAUCAAACGAGUGGGCCUGUUCAGUAAAUCACAGAUUAUUGGUUGAACAAAGGUGGAUGACCCUUAGAGAGAGUUGCAGAAAUUCCCAGGCUCUGACUGGGUGCCCAUUAAAAAAAACAGAGGUGCCAUUAGGCUAUGAUUCAGGUUGGGUUGAUGCACAAUGGGACUCAGGGCUAGAAGGAGGUAGCUGGCUCAGGUUGUUGGCUAGGGGGAAGGGGAACCUUGGGCAGGGACCCCACUAACCACAGACAAGUAAUUAGCUUUCCUCGGGGACUAGAAGUCUUCAUCUGGGGCCAGCCAAGCUUGCCAGCAUAGAGAAUUAUACACUAUUGAAAUGAACCUCACCAGUUAUCCUGCCACAGCUCCUGUUUGCUUGUGUUGGGGUUUCCAUUUCCCAUCCUAUAUGAUUUCCCCCCAUAUUUCUGGGAGAUUCAUGUUCAGUUUUCUUUUCCCAUCAUUUAACUCUCUUCCUGGGAAACUUGUUUCAAGAGAACCGCUGUUGGUGUUUGCACGCCACCGUUCCAGCAUGCUUCGGGUUGAUGGGCAGGGCUUCUGUUUGCGAAUCUCAAGGGACAGCAGCCUUCCCUCCCAUCAUUAGAAACUCGGGACUCCAGUCAGUCAGCCAACAGCCGAGUUUUUCACAAACACGUCCGUGCUUCUUCCUUGUGCAAAAUUCCCAAGGACUGUCCACCAGAAUGUCACAGCUGAAAGCCACACAUUCCCAACGGUCCUCUCCUAGCACUUCCCUUCCCUCUCCAGCCUCGCCAGCGCGGGUUUACGAGGCAAUGAACUGAGCAGCCAUUGCUUCGCAUUUGGAAUAUAUGUAAUGUUCGCCUGCUUGUGGAGUACAGUAUUUAAAGGGUGUGGGUGGAUGAAUGCUAAAGAAAUUUGUGCACAAGCUCUAUGAGAAAUUAUUAGAUCUGUCUUUGAUUUGUUUUUAAUGAGGAAUUUUAUUACCUUUUCUUUUAACAGUGAACUGUGUUUAGAACUAUAAUCUUCUUUAUUGUUAAAUGCUCAUAAAAUGCAAGCAAACUGCAUGUUGGACAUGCAGAAGCUAGGAUAAAUAUAUUAAAAGCAUGAACUGAUGAUAGUAAUAUCUUGGAUUCAUGAGACUAUUCUAGAUAAUAUUCUCCAGCAAAACACACACAAUAACCUCUAUUUUAUCAUCUCAGUCUGCUGGAUCAGGUCAAUUUAUAAAAUAAUUAUUCAUCCUCGGAUUUUCAAAAGUUGGACUAGGACCACAGGACUAAAUAUGCACUCUGGAUGCCCAAAUUGUAUUUUUCAAAGAUAAGACAUAAUGAGGCACUGUUAUUUCUAAUGUAUCUUUCAGUUAUGGAUAGAAAAACAAAGCUUCGCUAAUCUAAACAGGCCAGCUGCUCAAAACCGAGUGGAAAAGCUGCUUUGGGGAUAAAAUUUGCUACAGUUUUGCUAAACUACUUCAUGGUUCAAGGGGGAAAGGGUCUUUGUAACCUCUUCAACCCGCCAGCAGAAAUGUCGACUUCCAUGUUUUGUACCCUGAUAACUAGGACUUGUGAAUAGGACCUAAAUAGAUUGCUUCUGUUUCGGGACAGCAAUGGGAAUAAAAAUCUGCUAUUGGAAAUAGUGCAGGGAAGGCGAACAUUUUAGUUUGGGAAUAUCUCCCUCCCUUCCCAGUUCCAGAGAAAGAAAUGAUAAGCUUCGCUAUGCCAAAGGACAUGGGGGUACAGAGGGAAUGCUCUCUUCUCUCUUCUUCCCUGUUAAUUCCAACACCUGCCACAAAAUGAAUUGACCAACUGAAGUCAUUUUAUUGUAUAAAGGCAGACAGGUGUGUCCACAGUUAAACAGGUAAAUGAUAACUGCACGUGGGCAUCGGUGGCAGUAUCACCCCACCACAUACUAGGUGGAGGGCACCCUGGUUCUGGUCGUGCUCCCUCUCCAGGGUUCGUAACUGCUUUGGCCUCAUGAGCCCCAUUUCCAGACAUGCCAGGGAAGAUAGUCUCUGUGCCAAAUGUGUCCUUGGGGUGACAGCAAACCCCUCAUUGUACUUUGGGUGUUACUCCCCCUCCCUCUGUCCCCCCACUCCAGCCUGUCACAGAGAGAAGCAGCCUCAUUGUGCAAACUUAACAUCUCUCAGAUAGCCUUCCUGAAAAAGAUGUAUAUUUGCAGGAAUCUGGGCCAAACAACUAGUAGAAUAGAGCCAUCUAAAGUUAUUAAUGAUGAAUUCAGGGAAGUUGAUGGAUUUUCCUUGGCACUGUCACCAUGUAUGUCUCAUAACAAAUAAAAAAAAAUGAUUUUCCAUUUGAGAAAAAAACACAUGCGACCAUGACAUAAUUGUUAAAAAUCUUGGGCUUCACAUGUUCCUUCAACAAAUACCAUUAGUGCUUUAGGGAAACCAUAGGAAGGAGAGCCUUCCACAUCCCCCAGGGACCUUGGUGUUCUUUGUUAUUUCCCCAAAGCAAGUGCCCGGGGGGGGGGGGGGCGUGUCAUCCAUGUGGGGACUUUCUUUACUGCCCAGGGACUAGUCCUAUUCUUCAGCAGCUAUUUUGUUCAUUAUUUAUAAGAGGUUCACACAACAGCUGAGCUAGUAUGCAAAUAGUUAUGGAUGUGAUACUAUGAAGUACUUUGAUAAGAUUGUAUAUGCUUAAUAACAAAGUUAUUUUUCUUA